rnacentral:rRNA from 1 species
ACUAUUAUGAACCCGUCAUCAUUAUUGAAUAGUUUCAUAAAUUAUGAAAGUUACCAUGCUAGAACUAGUAACAAGAAAAUGAAUUUCUCCAUAUUGUAAGCUUACACCAAAAAUGGACUCCCCAUUGGUACUUAACGUUAAUGAUCCUAAUAUUUCAACAACUCAAGAAAACUAAAUAGCUUAAAUCGUUAACCUUACACUAGAACACUCCUGGAAAGAUUAAAAGGAAGAGAAGGAACUCGGCAAUAUCUAGUCCCGCCUGUUUACCAAAAACAUCGCCUCUUGCACCCACCCAUAAGAGGUCCCGCCUGCCCAGUGAUUAAUUUAACGGCCGCGUGAUUUUAAACGCGCAAAGGUAGCGAAAUCAUUUGUUCUUUAAAUGAGGACCAGUAUCAACGGCAUCACGAGGACUCAACUGUCUCCUCUCCCAAAUCAGUGAAACUAAUCUCCCUGUGAAAAAGCAGGAAUAACAAUAUAAGACGAGAAGACCCCAUGGAGCUUUAAACUUUAAGCAACUUUUAAUACUACAUUCCUUAAAAUAUUCUAGCUAUGCCCAAUAGUUUUAGGUUGGGGCGACCGCGGAGUAAAACUUAGCCUCCAUGACAAAAGGACAUUUCCUAAUCCAAGAAAGACAUUUCUAAGAAUCACUAACCUGAUGUUUCAUGACCCGACUAUCGAUCAACGAACCAAGUUACCCUGGGGAUAACAGCGCAAUCCAUUUUGAAAGCUCCUAUCGACAAAUGGGUUUACGACCUCGAUGU